ACGCUGGCGGCAUGCCUUACACAUGCAAGUCGAACGGUAACAGGUCUUCGGAUGCUGACGAGUGGCGAACGGGUGAGUAAUACAUCGGAACGUGCCCGAUCGUGGGGGAUAACGGAGCGAAAGCUUUGCUAAUACCGCAUACGAUCUACGGAUGAAAGCAGGGGACCGCAAGGCCUUGCGCGGACGGAGCGGCCGAUGGCAGAUUAGGUAGUUGGUGGGAUAAAAGCUUACCAAGCCGACGAUCUGUAGCUGGUCUGAGAGGACGACCAGCCACACUGGGACUGAGACACGGCCCAGACUCCUACGGGAGGCAGCAGUGGGGAAUUUUGGACAAUGGGCGAAAGCCUGAUCCAGCCAUGCCGCGUGCAGGAUGAAGGCCUUCGGGUUGUAAACUGCUUUUGUACGGAACGUUCUAAUAAAGGGGGUCCAUGACGGUACCGUAAGAAUAAGCACCGGCUAACUACGUGCCAGCAGCCGCGGUAAUACGUAGGGUGCAAGCGUUAAUCGGAAUUACUGGGCGUAAAGCGUGCGCAGGCGGUUAUAUAAGACAGAUGUGAAAUCCCCGGGCUCAACCUGGGAACUGCAUUUGUGACUGUAUAGCUAGAGUACGGUAGAGGGGGAUGGAAUUCCGCGUGUAGCAGUGAAAUGCGUAGAUAUGCGGAGGAACACCGAUGGCGAAGGCAAUCCCCUGGACCUGUACUGACGCUCAU
rnacentral:rRNA from 1 species